UUUUUGAUUUCGUUACGAAUAGAUGAUCGCAUCUGGUUUUGCUGGAAGCUGGAUAAACACUACAGAAAGGUAUCUGGUUAGGUGUGUGCGUUGGAUGGAACCAUCGAAGUUUCCGAAAAAAUGUAAACAAUACUAUUAAAACAGAUGCGAUGAUCACGAGCGGAAGACGAGAGUGAACUAUGAACUCUGAUGGUAACAGUCUUAUCGACACAUUUCGUUUGUAUCCAGUCUCUACUGUAUUCGUUAUGACCGAAUUCUAGCCUUUGGUUUAUAAAAAUGAUUGGUUCCAAGCCUUUACAGUUGCAUUUAGUUCUAUUUAGACGCUAUUCUUCUUUCGCUGGUUCCAGAGGGAAUAGUCAGCCAAGAUGGAUCAAAGCCACGUUCCGUCUAGGAGGCACAUUGCUGGCUAGUGCCCUUUUCUUCUACGGAUACCAAACUGUGGUCCCAAGAGUCUGCGACUGUGAUGAUCGUGCCGGAUACGCGAUGGCUGUGAAGAAGAGCAGCGAUUUGAUAAGGAGAGUCAAGGUAAUAUUACAGACGAAACGGAUGACAUUUUAUCUUGUCGUUUGAAGUCUACAGAUAUCCAUCACUUCGGCUCACAGGGUCUAAAGCUGAUAGCAUGACCCUGUUAGAACUGUACUUAUAUAAGAUACUGUUUAAGCAAAAGCUAAGGCUUCAAAUGAAAAUUUCAGAUUUUACAAAACUGGAUGAUAAAGAUUUG
rnacentral:lncRNA from 1 species